GUCCGCACGGUAAACGAUGGAUGCCCGCUGUUGGUCUGAAUAGGUCAGCGGCCAAGCGAAAGCAUUAAGCAUCCCACCUGGGGAGUACGCCGGCAACGGUGAAACUCAAAGGAAUUGACGGGGGCCCGCACAAGCGGAGGAACAUGUGGUUUAAUUCGAUGAUACGCGAGGAACCUUACCCGGGCUUGAACUGCAGGAGAACGAUUCAGAGAUGAUGAGGUCCUUCGGGACUCCUGUGGAGGUGCUGCAUGGUUGUCGU
rnacentral:rRNA from 1 species